rnacentral:misc_RNA from 1 species
GAUGAAGAACGUAGCGAAAUGCGAUACUUGGUGUGAAUUGCAGAAUCCCGUGAACCAUCGAGUCUUUGAACGCAAGUUGCGCCUCAAGCCAUUAGGUUGAGGGCACGUCUGCCUGGGCGUCACAUAUCGUUGCCUGAUGCCAGUUUCCUCGUGAUGGGUGACUGUGCAGGGCGAAUGAUGGCUUCCCGUGAGCAUUGUUGCCUCAUGGUUGGUUGAAAAUUGAGUCCUUGGUAGGGAGCGCCGUGAUAGAUGGUGGUUGAGUGACGAACGAGACCCAAUCAUGUGAGACCCCUACCGAAUUUGGCCUUCAUGACCCACAUGCGUCUUUGGAACGCUCAUGACGAGACCUCACGUCAGGCGGGGCUACCCGCUGAGUUUAAGCAUAUCAAUAAGCGGAGGA